rnacentral:rRNA from 1 species
UACGGAGGGUGCAAGCGGUACUCGGAAUCACUGGGCGUAAAGGACGCGUAGGCGGCCUAGCAAGUCUGGUGUGAAAGCCCAGGGCUCAACCCUGGAAGGGCACUGGAAACUGUUAGGCUUGAGUUCCGGAGAGGAGGGGGGAAUUCCCGGUGUAGCGGUGAAAUGCGUAGAUAUCGGGAGGAAUACCGGUGGCGAAGGCGCCCCUCUGGACGGAAACUGACGCUGAGGCGCGAGAGCGUGGGGAGCAAACAGG